UACGUAGGGGGCAAGCGUUGUCCGGAUUUAUUGGGCGUAAAGAGCGUGUAGGCGGCCAAGCAGGUCAGCUGUGAAAACUCGAGGCUCAACCUCGAGACGUCGGUUGAAACCGUUUGGCUAGAGUCCGGAAGAGGAGAGUGGAAUUCCCGGUGUAGCGGUGAAAUGCGUAGAGAUCGGGAGGAACACCAGUGGCGAAGGCGGCCUUCUGGACCAAUACUGACGCUCAUGCACGAAAGCGUGGGGAGCAAACAGG
rnacentral:rRNA from 1 species